ACAAACUUGGUCAUUUAGAGGAAGUAAAAGUCGUAACAAGGUUUCCGUAGGUGAACCUGCGGAAGGAUCAUUACCGAGUACCGGGGCUCCGGCCCCUGCUCCCACCCUUUGUGAACCUGUUUCUGUUGCUUUGGCGGGCCGGUGGCCUGGCCGCCGCCGGCCGCGAGGCUGGAGAGCGCCCGCCAGAGGGAUUUUCAACUCUUGUUUCUAACAUGGAGCUCUGAGUCUUAGAAGAAAUUGAAUCAAAACUUUCAACAACGGAUCUCUUGGUUCUGGCAUCGAUGAAGAACGCAGC
rnacentral:misc_RNA from 1 species